ACGGAGGAUCCGAGCGUUAUCCGGAUUUAUUGGGUUUAAAGGGAGCGUAGAUGGGUUGUUAAGUCAGUUGUGAAAGUUUGCGGCUCAACCGUAAAAUUGCAAUUGAUACUGGCAGUCUUGAGUACAGUUGAGGUAGGCGGAAUUCGUGGUGUAGCGGUGAAAUGCUUAGAUAUCACGAAGAACUCCGAUUGCGAAGGCAGCUUACUAAUCUGUAACUGACAUUGAUGCUCGAAAGUGUGGGUAUCAAACAG
rnacentral:rRNA from 1 species